rnacentral:misc_RNA from 1 species
AAGUCGUAACAAGGUCUCCGUUGGUGAACCAGCGGAGGGAUCAUUAAAGAGUUGCAAAACUCCCACAAACCAUCGCGAACGAACCCCUGAACAGUUGCUUCGGCAGGCCGGCCCCCCCGCCCCACCCGCGGGGGUCGCCGCCCAGGGCCUGCCGGAGGUGCCCAAACCAUUGUUUUUUUACCGGCCUCUCUGAGUACCGUACUUAAUAAGUCAAAACUUUCAACAACGGAUCUCUUGGUUCUG